AUUAUUAAGGUUUUCCCCAACCUUUCUUUAAAUUUUAAAAUCCCCCGUGGCGUUUCUACAUUUAUAGGACCUCAAUAUUCCAAACUUAUACGCUGAAAGAAACAAAAAAAAACUACGAAGACUGCAGCUCUGCCGGCCUUGGGAUUUUCCUGCCGGCGGUCUCUAGAAGUGCUUAUUUGCCAAGCGGGAUGUUGUAAUGUGAACUUUCCAACUAAUUGUCAAUUAAGUCUCCAAUUGAACAAAAGUCUUCUCCUUCUUUCAAGUUAAUACUGUUUCUUCAAACAUAUGUCCGCUAUUUUGGGUUAUAGUUGUGCAGAGUACACGGAUUUCGCAUUUUUCCCUCUUCUACUUUUGGUUGGUCGAAACUCGGCUCCAGAUUGAUUCGUUACACCUUUAAGGAAGUGGAUGCUUCGUACGGGAAGAGGAGGUCCUCCCGCUCUCUCUUUCUCUGCCGCGUUCUUCCUUGCACUGAUCUUACUCAGAAAUAUUACUCCAUACAAUCGUAUUUUGCACUACCGCCCACCUCUCUUUGUACCGAGUUUGUGCCGUAAAACCAACGACAGAGAAUAUUUUCUCGAAUACAAGUUCCUCUUCUCCUCAUAUAAAGAAUGCAGCUGGUCAAAUCCAAGCAAUAAUAACUGAAAUUCCCCAGUGCGUGCAUUAACUGUUGUGGCACUUUGCUUAACUUUAUUCCUUGUUUUUUGCUCCCUGUUGGUCGCUCGGUGACCUGUUUAGGGUUGGUAGGGAGGAGGGGGUGUUGUUACGCUGGCUGCUUCGCCCGACUCCACGUUACAAGUCUGGGGUUGGGCUGCCUCCAGCGACUACUGCUCACCGCUGUCGAGUCGCCGGGUCCCUGUCGCGCCGUCUCCCGGAGUCCAACGCUUCGUCUGUCAGCGGCACCAUGAGAAAACGGGCAACGGAAUACGCUGAGCCCGAACUUCAGAGAAGCGGUUCGCGUUCAACGCGCCAACCCCCCGCACACGCAGAAUUACCGCUCCGCAAUCGUUGUGCUCUGGAAUUUGCUGCCUGGAAGGGGAAUAGAAGCAGAUUUGGAUUUUUCCAAUGCCACUUUGAAAGGAACUAUCCAGAAAACUACAGGUGAAGUGCAGGAUGGUGUUACUGAAGGGAAUAGUUUCCAGCUGUCUGCCUAUCAGACUACUGGAGUGUGGGCCACACCCAGCACCAGUCACCAGAAAAUGAUGGCAGCUACCGAAGGCUGCUCCUCAGAGAACCCUGAGGUAGAAGAUAGGAGAAGCAACCAAAGAAGCCCUGACCAUUUCUUCCUUGAGAAGAAGCAACUGUGUAAGACUUCUUGGCAUCAACACACCGGACAUCAGCUACGUACCAGAAGCAAAAUGUCCCUACAACCUCUGCCUGACAUUGACUUUAAUGGUCUGAGUAUCGUAACCAACACUGCUUGCUCCACCUCUGGUCUCUAUGAAUGACUGAUGCCUUGUGUCAGGUCCGAGUUCUUAUGUUGUCUGUCACUUAAUGCUAUGGCUUGUAUUGGCCCCCCAGGAGCUCAGGGAACCAGGCAAGGUUAGAAGGGUUUUACUGGCAGUGUUAGCCAAGUCGACGUUUAGUGGCCAGUUGCCAGAGGGGAUAGAAAUUGUUUUUGAAUCAGUAGGUGGGGAGAAGAACAUCAGCCACCAGAAUAUCAAGCUAUCCCAUGUUGCUAUUGGCUCGGUCUUCAGCUGUGAAAACACUCUUGGAUUAAGAGUCCAAGUACAAGAAAUUGGCCUUAAAGUUACUUCAAAACUCCACCAGUGCUUCAGGGCUCCUUUACCCCAUUACAACUCACUCUAUCGAGCUGGUGUGAGGGGUUUGUAGGCAAACUGUUGGAAAAAAGUAAACUGGUCAUCAGAGAGAAUUUGUUCCCAAAGGUUGACCUGUGGCAUGGAGUCCAUUUACCAUGUUGUCCAUUCCCUUUAUUCAUGAAGAAACUGUGGAAAAACUGUAACCUAGUUACCACAGCUAGAGAGCAUAGAGCUAAAAUAAAAUGUUAAUUUAUGAAUAGAAAGCCUUCCAAAAGUAGGAACAGUGGGUUUACUUCAUUUAAAAGGCCCGUAGCAGUUCAGUAACAGUUUACCAUGGGGCCAAGGUCUAUAUAGCAAGAGCUGAAGGUUUAAACACCUACGCAAAUUAUAAACUCUAUGUUUGGAAUGUUUCAAGGCUGCUUUAAGUCUGUUGAUCCAUGCAUUAUUUUAAUUAUGUCUGCUAAUGGAAAAAAAGGAGAAAAAAAUUAAUAAAGCCUUCAACAGGAAGAACAACAGAGUAUGUUUUCCUGAGAUUUAAUGAUUUACAGCAACAGCUCAAUUUAAGCCUCUGUUUUGUUGAUAUAGUGAGAAGGUAAAUCAGCUGUGGUAUUAUAUUACAAGUGUUCAUGCAGUUUUGGUAAAGUGGAUUUAUGCUGUCAUAAUGUGAAUAAAAAAGUGAAGUACAUCACUGCAAAAUUUGACAAAACAGUGCCAGUGUGAAUCCCUAUUGUACUCAAUCGGCUUCAUUUAGUAUACAUUUCAUACACAUCUGUAGAAAAAUAACCACAGAUGUAAAGUAACUGUAAAAAAACCCACACACAAAAAUAAAUGUUGUAAAAUAUUCACACAUGAAACCAUUCAUAGAAAAAUAUCCAGAAUCAAAAUUUACCUGGAGGAGAUUAUUCACAUACAAAACAUCUG